GACUGUGGCAAAGGGCAUGCCCGAGGUGACCCAGCUCCAGUUCAUUGUUCCUACAUGUGAAUGCAAGGCAAGAGUGGCCAGAUUGGAUUUUCAAGUGACCUUUUCUAAUAUUUAAAUGUUAGCAACUACUUAAAAAAUCCACAGACCCUGAGCAGUUCAACCUUGGCCCCAGGUUUCCCAUUUACCACAGUUUACUCUUGGUUUGGCCUCAGGGAUCUUAUGAAUUGGAGCCAUCAGAAUCAAGGGGUUGACUGUGAGAGGACAGGGAUGGUGAAGAUCCCCAUCACCACUCCAGUUCAAUCUCUGGUGGACGAAGGGUCAUCUUCAUAGGUGCGCCAUGGGCCAGCGUUUCUACAUGUGCUCACCUACCGCUAGGUGAGCUCCCAAGGAAGCUGAUGGCUCAGGCUGUACUGACCUCUCCCAGGGAAACAGUUGCUUCCCUAAGACCUUCUUACUAAAUACACUUCCUACAUACAAGACCCCCAAACUCAGUGGUGCCCAAGUUGAGAGACCUUGAUCUAGAGCGAUGAACCCGACAUUUGUAGUUAUCCAAUAUGAGGUGCUCCAAAAAAUCACCGGCCAGUGUUCAGUGAACAUUUGUACAUGUUCAUUAUAGCACACUUGGAACAUACAGAACAAUUGUAAAGCAGAGUAUCAAAACUACCUGGAAUCCUGACAUUGACAGAAAAACCACUGUUAAGCAUUGGUAUAUUUUAGGGCAUGGCUUAGUAAACUAUGGCCUGUUGGCCAAAUCUGACCUGUUGCCUGUUUUUAUAAAGUGUUACUGGAACUCAACUGUGUUCAUUACUUUUUGUAUGCUGUUUUCAAGAGGUUGCAAAGCUUAACAUAUGUACUAUCUGGCCUUUUAUAGAAAAACGUUUGCCAGUAUCUGCUUAGGGAAGUCUUUAUCAUGUGUGCGUGUGUGUGUGGGUGUGCGCGCGUGUGUGUGUGCGCGCGCGUGUGUGCGUGUGCAUGUGUGUGCGCGUGCGUGUGUGCGCGUGCGUGUGUGUGUGCGUGUGUGUGUGGGGGGCACAUAUGACAGACCCAUUAAGUUGA
rnacentral:lncRNA from 1 species